GCCGUGGUGAGGAUGAAUCCCACGCGGGCCCUGGCACAUGGGCUUCGGCCCCAGGUCUGCGGUGGUGGGGGUCCCAGCCUUUUCCUGAGGCCAGAAGAGGACUGAAAGGAGUGGUUGCAUCAGGUCUCCCCCACCCUUCUGCCUCCUGCGGUUGCGGCUUUAUUGUGGCCUCUGCUCCCCUGACACCUGCAUUUCACUUAGCGGGAGAGGCGGUGGCCAACUCAGCACAGGCUGCGGACUCAGCGUGGUGACAGAUCCCUCAAGCUAGAAGACUUCUGUUAGGAGAAGCGUUAUCCUGUCAGUUGAUUACCCUGAGUUAUUAUUAUUGCUGUUUGACAGAUGAAAAACUGACAUGGAGAAAAGUUAGACAAUUCCUCCAAAUCACAAAGAUAGUAAGUUGAAAACUUGUGAAAAGAACUCUGCUAUGUCAUAUUUCAAAGUCUAUGACCUCCCCUAUAUGGUACCUUCACUGAUGCUAUUGAAUUUAAAGCAAAUAAAGGAAAUGAAGCACAGCCCAAGUGUUGAUUGGUGGGAAGAAUAAAACAGUCAGAGUAAAUCUCACAUUGAAUGAACCUCCAGUGUUGUGUUGUUAGUUAGAAUUAAAGUCAUUCUCUAGAGUGUAACUUAAGACAGUAUGUCAUUUAAGGGUCAAGAAAUAGUCUGUUUACUCAGCAUUUAUCAGUCCUUUCUUUCCAAACUUUAAGCUAGCUAUAGAAAAAUUCCAGAGAGCCUGGGGAAAGAAACAAAAGGAAAAUUAGGGAAAAGACUUACAAGGUAUGAAGUAUUAGAGAACAUUUUAAAAGGAUAAUCUAUACGCUAUGUCAUUGAUGGCUGCAGCCAUUCUCUAUGCCCAUAAACUAAAUGGGCCUAACUCUUAACAGUGGCUAUUAGGUUAGUUAGAAGAGGCAUGUUUCUGAAAAUUCCAUAGUGAACUUCAUAGCCAGAGGAAAAUAUCUUAUACUUCUUUCUAUUCAAUCAUCCUUGACUCCGAAAGUGCCUCUUAUUUUCUUUUGGUGGAACAGUGGAAAAAAAAUAUCACACUGGAAGGCCAAUUGACUGAAAUCAAGUCCCUUUUCCUAACUGUGUGAACUGGGUCCUUCACAUCACUAUCCUUCAACAACAAGAAAAACAAAAAACAUCCUAUAAAUGUAUAAAGAAGAAAAUGAAAGUUCUUUCUUUGCUACCCCUAGUUCUCUUCCCCUUCCUAGAGGCUAAACUAUUUUGUGUGCAUGUGUGUGUGUGUGUAGAAUGUACACAUAUAUGUAGGGGAUUGGUUCUAGGACUCUGUCCCCUGUGAAUACCAAAAUUCAGGGACGCCUAAGUUCCUUAUAUAAAAUGAUGCUUAUAACCUACGCACAUCCUCCUGUAUACUUUAAAUAAUCUUGAUUACUUAUAAUAUCUAAAACAGUGUAAAUGCUAUGUAAAUAGUUGUUAUACUGUAUUGUUUAGGAAAUAAUGACAAGAAAAAAGUCUGCACAUGGUCAGAACAGAUUCAACCAUUCUUUUUUUAUAUAUUUUUUUCUGAAUAAUUACAAUCCAUGGUUUGUUGAAUCCACAGAUGCAGAACUGGUGGAUAUGGAGGGCUGACUGUAUACAUGUAUCUUCCCCAUAUAAAUAGAACAAUAUUUUAUAUACUGUUCUUCAAAUGGCAUUUUCCCUUUGAAGCUCUUUUCAAAUAUGUAAAAAUCUAUUUUUAAAAACUGCUGCACAGUAGCUCAUAGAAUGAAUCUACCAUAUUUCCUUUACUCUUUCCCCUCUUGGUGGUCCUUUAGGUGGUGUUUGGUUUUUUUCUAUUAUAAAUAGUGUGCAAUGACCAUGCUUGUAAGUGCUUCUAUACUCAUAUAUGUUUCUCUGAGCACAGAUGCCUAGAUCUAGAAGCCAAACAGAUGGGUUGAAGGUGAUACCUAAUUUUAACAUUUGAUGACUCCUGCCAAAUUACCCUCUGAAAAGAAUUUAACAAUUUAUAUUCCUUCCACAUCAUUGCCUCUUUCCCCACAUCAUAAUAUUUGUUCAACUGAGAGAGUGCUUAACUCAGGAGAUCAAUAAAGGUUCAUAGAGGAAGAAGUAUUUGAAAUUGUCCUGGAAGAACAAUAUUUUUCAACAGGCAGAGAUGGAGAAAGGACAAUCUACAUGAACAGAACAGCAUGAGCAAAAAGAACUGGUAGAAAUAUAUUGAGCUUAUUCUUGAAAAUAGCUAGCAGUUUACUCCUCCUUUCUUUUGUAUACUAACAGCAGCACACUGAACAAACUGUUCUGUCAUCUUGUUUUUAUCACUUACCAUAUCUUUGAAAUAUUUCCAUAACCAUCAUAAGGAGUAUCCCUAUUGCUUUUUGAGCAAUGCAUAGAAUUCCAUUUUGUGUGAAUAUCAUAAUUUAUCACUCUUCUAUUUUUAUCACUCCUCUGUUGAUGAUGACUUCCAGUCUUUUGAUAAUAUAAACAGUGCUGUAGUAAAUAAAGUUCUGUAUAUGUCUUUUCCCACAGGUUAGAGACUAUCCAUAGGAUAAAUUUCUAGCAAAUUGCUGAGUCCAGGAUAUGCAUGUUUGCAAUUUUGGAAGAUCUUAAAAACUUGCCUCCUAUAGGUGUUGUACCAGUAUAUACUUCUGCCAGUAAUAGAUGGGUGGGCUGCUGAUGCCUCAAAAUUUCCACAGGCUAUACAGGAAGCAUGGCUGAGGAGGCCUCAGGAAACUUAACAAUCAUGGCAGAAGGUGAAGGGGAAGCAGGCACAUCUACACAUGGCCAGAGCAGGAGGAAGAGAGAGAAGGAAGAGGUGCUACACCCUUUUAAGCAACCAGAUCUUGUGAGAUCUCACUAUCGUGAGAAUAGCAAGGAGGAAAUCUGCCCCCAUGAUUCAGUCACCUCCUGCCAGACCCCUCCUCCAACAUUAGGGAUUACAAUUCGACACGAGAUUGCCGGUGGGACACAAAUCCAAACCAUAUCAUAUUCUUUAUACAUUUGGGAAAUUAACUUUUUUCUGUAAUAUGAUUUACAAAUAUUUUUCUCAGAUUGGCAUUUGUUUUUUGACUUUUCAUAUUGUGCAUUUUGCCAUGGGAAGUUUUUUUUGUCAUUAAAUUUACCUAUUCUUUCAUUCAUAUGGCUUCUGGGUCCUAUAUUAUACUUAGACCUUUACCAUUCUGAAAUUAUGUAAGAAAAAUUCUCUCAGGGUUUUUUCCUAGUAAUUUUAAGACUUUACUUUUAAUAUUUUGGAUUUAUCCAGAUGUAGACUAUAAGAUAAGGAUCCACAUUUUUUCCCCAGCUCUACAUUUUGCUGCUAGAAGAUUUUACAAAAUUUUGCAAUUACUUAGUAACUUACAUUUCUUCCCAAUUGAUUUUGAAAUCUGUAAGAGCAGAAACUUUGAUUUCAUAUUUUUAUUCUCUCACAUGCCUGCCCUUUAAUGCACUUCAACCCCAGCCCCAAGUUUUGCCUAGUACUUGGCAGUUAGGUAGUUGUUACUUCUGCAUCUCUUGACUGCUGGGGAGGAAAGAUUCCACCUGAGUUAAGGCAAGUCCUACCCAGGAUGUGGCUGCAAAUGAGACUGCAAAGUUCUCGACCGAUGUCUUUUCAUUAAACUCUGGCUUUUACCAAGUACAAGUACCAAGUGAGUCAUACCGACACAUGUAGAGGAUGGCAUCCUGAGGGGAAAAGAAUUAUAGUGGAAAUAACCAAGGCUGCUUGGAGAAAAGCUUCUCAGCUGGCACUGCAGAACAGCAGCCACUGCCACAGCAAACAGCAAAACAAUAACAAGCUUACUUGCAGAAGGUGGGAAGCUGCAGACGUAAAUGCAGGCUCCCUUCCCAGGCUACCAGCAGUCCCUGGGGAUGAAGUAGUCUAAAUGGGCAGCAGUUGUGGAGUCCUCCCCGCUCACAGGAAUGGAAGAUGUCACUCACUAGCAGAAGUGCUCUGGGGUGGCAAUGAGGAGUACUGUCUUUGGACUCUGACAGGAACAUCUGGAUGGCACCAGGCUCAGGGAGACGGGUCUUGUGUGUCCUGCUAAGCACUAACAGCAAUAAUUGAGCAGCAGCAAUCUGCCUCACAUCAUUCUAGGCCCUAGGAGGGCACAAAGUUGGUUCUUGGCUCAGGUUAUCAGGAAAGUAACGUAUGUGCGUACAAAUAAAGUGUCCAACAGCAGAAAGGGAUGCCCUGAACAGUCCAGGUUGCACAAAGGAGUAUGGACAAACAAGUAGUUUCAUCCAGCUGGGAGCACUAGGAAAGCUCAGAAGGAGGAUGCCUCCAGGAGCCAGUGAGUGUAUUCUGUCACCAGGUGCCUUGGAGAGUGGAGGAUCUGGAGGGCACUUUUUGAGGCUGAUAGGAAGAAAGCAGACGGGUGGAGUGGUAGAUGGAAUGACGCCCUCACCCUCUGCAAUGUUCACAUUCUAAUCCCUGAGAUAUGUGAAUAUGUUACUCUAGCUGACAAAAGGGACUUUGCAGAUGUGAUUAAGGAUUUUGAGCUGGGGAGGUGACUCUGAAUUACAUGAAUGGGCCCAGUAUAAUCACAAGGGUCCUUAUAAUAGGGAGACUGGAGUGUCAGAGUCACAGAUGAGCUGUGAUGAUGGACGCAGUGGUGAGAGAGAGAUGUGAAGAUGGAAGGAGAGGGCCAUGGGCCAAGGAAUGUGGGUGGUCUCUAAAAGCUGGAAAAGGCAAGAAAAUGGAUCCUCCCCUAGAGACUCCAGCAGGAACAAAACCCUGCUGACACCUUGACUGUAGGACUUCCAACCUCCAGAACUAUAAAAUAAUAAAUUCAUGUUGUUUUAAACCACUAAGAUUGUCGUAAUUUGUUACAACAGCCAUGGGAAAUGAGCACAGGUGGAUUAGACACUUCAAGAGAUGUAAUUUCUUUGUGUAAUUCUUUCUGGGAAGCUCCAUGAA
rnacentral:lncRNA from 1 species